rnacentral:lncRNA from 1 species
CCUUUCCCAGAAGCAGGGACACGGAAGCCAGGAACAUGGAGCCAUCCCAGAGGGCAGAGUGUGACUGGUUGUCCAGCCCCAAGAGCUCCUGGGAAGAGCAAGGACGGAGCCAGGCUCUCUGGGAAGUCGGACUGAAUCUUGCUGGGCUAUUUUCUCCCCGAAGCAUGGAGAAUCAUUCAGUGGCGUGAAAGGUGGCUGAGAAGCAAUAAAUAAUCUUCCAAUGGGGACAGGCCCGUCUGGGAGACUUCUCCUGGAGACCUGGGGUCAUGACACCUGCGUGUGGCCUGGAAGCCAGAGCAGGAAGCGGAAGUCAGUAUCACCACCCGGGCCCAGCAAAGCCUGUGGAACCAGUGGUGUUGAUCUGAAAGUUGACUGCUGGACUCUGGACAUUGAAAGUUUCCCUGCUUCCCAAGUUAGACCGAUGAGGAUUCUCAAAGGAUGGUGACAGAGGCCCGAACCUCCAGACCUAUUCCAGGCAUAGCGUCUCAACUGCCCCACGGAGGCCACACUUUCUGAGGAGUGAUACAGCUGUCCCCAAGCCUGGC